GGGUGCGAUCAUACCAGCACUAAUGCACCGGAUCCCAUCAGAACUCCAAAGUUAAGCGUGCUUGGGCGAGAGUAGUACUAGGAUGGGUGACCUCCUGGGAAGUCCUCGUGUUGCACCCC
rnacentral:rRNA from 1 species